rnacentral:rRNA from 1 species
UACGUAGGGCGCAAGCGUUGUCCGGAAUCAUUGGGCGUAAAGCGCGCGUAGGUGGCCUCAUAAGUCCGCUGUGAAAGUCAAAGGCUCAACCUUUGAAAGCCGGUGGAUACUGUGAGGCUAGAGUACGGAAGAGGCGAGUGGAAUUCCUGGUGUAGCGGUGGAAUGCGCAGAUAUCAGGAGGAACACCAAUAGCGAAGGCAGCUCGCUGGGACGUUACUGACACUGAGGCGCGAAAGCGUGGGGAGCGAACAGG